GGAGGGGGGGGGUCGCGGGCCGGGUCACGGCGCGGCGGCGGCGAGGCGUCGGCCUGCGAGCGCGGGUCGGCCGCCGCGUUAUCAGGGGCUGUUAUCGCUUGUCAGGACCUCCGUCUCCCCGCAUUACGUCAGUUUCAAGACACCGACACUAUUAAUAUCAAAGGAGCCUUCGCGGAGGAAAGCGCCACCCCAGACGGAGCGCCCUUAAAGAGACAGCGCAGGCGGCCCCGCCGCGCCGCCCCCCCCUUCCCUCACACGCGGCCCCCCCUCAGGGCCGGGCCGGGCCGGGCCGGGCCGGCCCCCCCCCGGGGGCGGCCAUGAGCGGGGAGCGGGCCGGGCCGCCGAGGCUUUGGCCGAGUUGGGUGUCUGAGGAGCAGCCCGCAGGCCACAGCCGCAUCCCCAGCGCGGCCCCCGCGAGGUUUUGGUGCCUUUUUUUUUUUUUUUUUUUUUUUUAUCGAUCGCAUUGAUCGCUGGUGUACGGAUUUUAAAAAGUCACAACACCGCCACCAACACGGCCUCACAGCACCUCCACCACCUCACAAAAAUGACAACGACACCACCAGCACCACCUCAGAGCCGCUGCCCACCCGCGGGACAGGGCACGGGGGGGAUGCCCGGGGGGCUCUGCUCGCCCGUCUCCCCCUGCUGCACCGGACAGACAGACGGACAAUUCCCUAUUCUCGGCUGAACGUGCCCCGUGGGUGCCUUCUCGUUGACACCAAGCACAAAUUAGGUCUCGAGCUGCCCUGGAGAAGACCCUACAACUGCCCUCUCUGCUCUGAGCCUCUCCGACUCGAAACGCUCUGCUUUCUCCCCUGCCACAAAUUGCCAGGAGCCUGUAUGUUAGAGUAAAAAACUCUCUGAGGAGAAGCACUCAGGUUCUGUUGUUGCUGCCAAGCCAGACCAGAGUGGCUGUUCGUUCGGAGACACCUUGCCUGUGAAGGGUUAAAAUCAGCAGGAAAUGAUGCCCCCCACACCUUAAAUCCUCGCCAGCUCGCAUGUGUGCCUGCAGUUCUCCCAGAUUUUAGUCACAUUAUGACAAAUAAAACACGGAGAAGAUCGGUAACCAUGAAAGUGCAGGUUUCAACAUGUGGAAACCUUGAUAAUAAACACACCUUUUUUCACCUGUAGAACAAUAUGAGAUACGUAUUUGUAAAAGACAUAAGCUUUUUGUGCACAUGCUUUUAAAAUGAAACCGCAGAAGCUGUUCCUAAGCAGAGAUUAGAAAGACAAAAUGUGUCUUCAUAAUUUCAAGUCGACGACUUUAAUGAAAUGCUCUCAAGAAAACUAUGUUACAGUAUCUUUGUAAAAAAAGAAAAAAAUGCUUGCAUGAUACAUUCUGCAUUUCAAGUUAAAGCAGAUCAAGAAGAUGUCAAUAUCAAUCUGUUUAUAUUCACCACAACAGAACUGCAGAGAACUUAAUAAAAGCAAAAAUAUUUUCAUAAACUUUUUCAGGCAA